GAGAAUCUUUAAUUAUUUUUUUUAAUCCAAUUUUUUUUCCCUUUCUUGACUGGAAGGACAUGGGUUGAUACUUCUUUUUAGCUGGUUCUUUUGUUAAACUCAUAAAAUGAGGAACGGUCAGUUCGACACUCCAGCUGGUGCAGUGUUUUUAAAUGCCCAAGGCGCACUAAGGCGCAAUGGCCCUCUGAAGCCUAGGCCACACAAAAAGACGUGGGCUUUUA
rnacentral:misc_RNA from 1 species